AUGAACGCUGGCGGCGUGCUUAACACAUGCCAGUCGAACGAAGCACUUUAUUUGAUUUCCUUCGGGACUGAUUAUUUUGUGACUGAGUGGCGGACGGGUGAGUAACGCGUGGGUAACCUGCCUUGUACAGGGGGAUAACAGUUGGAAACGGCUGCUAAUACCGCAUAAGCGCACAGCAUCGCAUGAUGCAGUGUGAAAAACUCCGGUGGUAUAAGAUGGACCCGCGUUGGAUUAGCUAGUUGGUGAGGUAACGGCCCACCAAGGCGACGAUCCAUAGCCGACCUGAGAGGGUGACCGGCCACAUUGGGACUGAGACACGGCCCAAACUCCUACGGGAGGCAGCAGUGGGGAAUAGUGCACAAUGGGCGAAAGCCUGAUGCAGCGACGCCGCGUGAGCGAAGAAGUAUUUCGGUAUGUAAAGCUAUAUCAGCAGGGAAGAUAAUGACGGUACCUGACUAAGAAGCACCGGCUAAAUACGUG
rnacentral:rRNA from 1 species